UACGAAGGGGGCUAGCGUUGCUCGGAAUCACUGGGCGUAAAGCGCACGUAGGCGGAUCUUUAAGUCAGGGGUGAAAUCCCAAGGCUCAACCUUGGAACUGCCUUUGAUACUGGGGAUCUCGAGUCCGGAAGAGGUGAGUGGAACUGCGAGUGUAGAGGUGAAAUUCGUAGAUAUUCGCAAGAACACCAGUGGCGAAGGCGGCUCACUGGUCCGGUACUGACGCUGAGGUGCGAAAGCGUGGGGAGCAAACAGGG
rnacentral:rRNA from 1 species